AUUGAACGCUGGCGGCAGGCCUAACACAUGCAAGUCGAACGAGUGGCGGACGGGUGAGCUAUGUCUGGGAAACUGCCCGAGGGAGGGGGAUAACUACUGGAAACGGAAGCUAAUAACGCAUACCAUCGGAUGUGCCCAGAUGGGAUUGGCUAGUAGGUGGGGUAACGGCGCACCUAGGCGACGAUCCCUAGCUGGUCUGAGAGGAUGACCAGCCACACUGGAACUGAGACACGGUCCAGACUCCUACGGGAGGCAGCAGUGGGGAAUAUGGGACAAUGGGCGCAAGCCUGAUGCAGCCAUGCCGCGUGUGUGAAGAAGGCCUUCGGGUUGUAAAGUACUUUCAGCGGGGAGGCGUUACUCGCAGAAUAAGCACCGGCUAACUCCGUGCCAGCCGCCGCGGUAAUAC
rnacentral:rRNA from 1 species